rnacentral:lncRNA from 1 species
UUUUCCUUAUUUCUCUGGAAUUUCAUUGCCAUCCCCCUCCUCCCCAUCAGCUCUCUCCGCUUCUCCAUGCUUGGCGUUCCUCCCUAUAGCCCAUCUCGCCCAAUCCCCAUCGCUCCCAUCCCAUCCCCAUACCGGUCUCUUCUCUCGUGUUCAUCCCAACCAGGGGGGUGUCUCAAGCUGGCGAAAUGCCUUCCUUUGCCUCUUCCCGGGUACUGUUUCUUCUGUUCUAAGUCUAUGCGCGUCUUUGUUUGAUCUGGUUAGGGUUUGGUAGUUAGGCUUGUGAUUUGAUACCUGUUUGAUUCUGUUAAGUACUGUUGGGAGCUGUUCAUUUCGGGGUUUCGUAGUUAAUAACUGUUUGAUCAUGUUGCUGUGAAUUGCGUAUAUUGAACUGAUUUGGUCUAGGAUUUUAUUUGGGGUUUAUUGACUCUAGACAUGGUUCUAAUCAGGUGACUUAUCUUGUGUUCUUGUCUUAGUACCCUAGUUUAUUUGGGGGUUUGGCCGUUCACAAUCUGUUUGAUUCCCUGUUGAUUGCUUUUUUUUUUUGAAGUGGAUUCCCUGUUAAUUGCUAUGAUUGGCAAAAUAUUUGUCUCCAUUGAGAGUUACUGAUUUGAGUAAUCUUACGUUCUCUAUUCCUGUCAUGCCAUUUGUUACGUUUAGCUGGAAUUCCAGAUAAAUGUUAAGAAGUUUGACUUACGACAAAGCUAGGGCAUCUUAUAUUUAGGAACGGACGUAGUACCUUUUUUGUGUGCAGUACUGUGUCCUUCUGGUCUAAUGAGUUAGUGUUUUGAGUAUUGUCUGGUUCCUUCGGUCCUUCCUAAUGUUUAUAUUGAUUUUUUGGACGGUACUCUAUAUCGUCUUGGUUCUAAUGUUAUAACCCUCCUGUCUUUGUUUAGUUCAUUUAGAAAUGCCUCAUUUUGUGUUAAUGGUGCUAUUAAUGGGCUGUGCAAGUGUACAUUACUGUGUAUUCUCAUGAUGCUACUGCUGCUGUAAUUGUUUGUAUACCGCCCUUCUUGAUUCUAAUGUUGCAUCUAAUUGUUAUGCAUAUUCAUAGCGCAAGGGUUCAUUUCAGUAGGGAGUAUAUUCGCUGACACCACUCCUUUUAAUAACUGUUUGAUCAUGUUGCUGCGAAUUGCGUAUAUUGUACUGAUUUGGUCUAGGCGUUUAUUGAUUCUAGACAUGGUUCUAGUUUCGUUACGUAUCAUUAUGGUCUUGUCUCCGUUUAUCUGGGGAUUUGGCAGUUCAUGAUCUAUUUGAUUCCAUGUUAAUUGUGAUGAGUGGCAAAUUGUUUGCCUCCAUUGGGAUUUAGUGAUGAGACUGGUUUUUCUAUUCUCGAGUGUGUUGCUCCACUAAUCUGGAUCGUCUGACUGAAUGGAAACGGAGGGCAGAUAGGUAUGGGUGACGACAUAUGCAGUGGCUCAGCAGACGGCGUCUGACGGCAUGGACGUUGUUCACGUUUGUCCGAUUGAUGUAGUACGACCUACAAACAAUAGUGAUGUCCAAAAAAAAAAUCCCUGUUUCGUGCACUACACAGCUACGGAUCUGGAUCUCUCUAUACGUUGCACUAAUAUAAUUUUUCCUCCCCCAAACAAUAGUGAUGUCGUACCUACAUGUCAUGUCUGAUUUACUUUGAAUAGUACAAGUAUUUUCCAGAUGCGAUUGAAAGCCAUGACGCACGUGUCCAAAAAGGACGUGAUAUUCGACACCAUGACUGUUGUGUAAUACUCGCUCUGAUCAUAAAUUCUUGACUUAAAUUUGCUCAAAUAUGAAUAUAUAUCUAUUUUUAAAAAACGUCUAGAUACAUGUAAUAUUUCGACAACAAUUUAGGAUCGGAGGGAGUAGUAGAUUUCGAUUGCACCCAAAGGGUAUGGGUUGCAGAUCAGAGAAGUGGUGUGAACUGUUGAUUUUUUUACCAGAGAUUUCAUUUCAUGUGUGUCUAUACAUACAUACAUACAUACAUACAUAUACAUACAUACAUACAUAUAUAUAUACAUAUAUAUAUAUAUAUAUACACACAUUAUAUAUAUAUAUACAAACAUAUAUCGUAGAUCAGAAAAGUGGUGUGAACUGUUGAUUUUUUUACCAGAGAUUUCAUUUCUGUGUGUGUCUAUACAUAUACAUAUACAUCAAUUCUCUCACUCAAAAACAUGUGUUUUCUCUCUCUCUGCACAUAUAUCCAUUCUCUCUUAAGAAUAUGUAUUUUUUCUAUCUAUUCGAUUUCGCCUCUCUCUCCAUACACACACUUUCUCUCUCUCUCUCAAGAAUGUAUGUUUUCUCUCUCUAUAUAUACAUAUCCAUUCUCUCUCAAGUAUAUGUGUUUUGUUUGUCUAUUAGAUUCAUUCUCUCUCAAGCAUAUGUGUUUUCGUGUACUUCGAUUUAGUCUCUCUCUCUCAAUAUAUGUACACACACAUUCUCUCAAGAAUAUUUGUUUUCUCUCUAUAUAUACAUAUCCAUUUUCUCUCAAAAAUAUGUGUUUCAUCUGUUUAUUUGAUCCACGACUACAGUUUCUCUCUUGUACCCAACAUGGAAGGCAAAUUCUCCCGUACCCAAUACUCCAUCCACCUCCAACGGAGCAUUGGGGAAGGGCAUAUCAGUCAUUUCACAUUUAUGCAUUACUAGUAAAAAAAAAAGAAAAACCCCUCACCAGUCACCCCCGAGCCCGAGCCCUGUCAUCCCUGGAUUCUGUCUCCGCCGCCGCCCUCGGCCAGGUUUUUGGGCGGCGGAGGAUAUCCGGGGAGGAGGGGUUCGGAGAAAAGGCGUGGCUGGUUGCCGCUCGGUGUAGGGGGGUGAGAGCAUAUCUCCAGCAGAUACGGAAAGGGGAAAUUUGGACACCCGUUAUUUGUUGGCCUUUGCUCAAACACACUUUUCAAUCGUGUCUUUACUGAGUAUCAUUAUGAUUUUGUGUUCAUUUGUUACAACACAUUUUGACGUGUGGAACUCUAUUGUCAGUCACUCAAUGGCCCUCUUCCCUCUUUGGUUACCAGCCGAGUAACGGCGCCGGACCCGUCCGUACAGAACUGCAGAUGGCCGGCGCAGCAGAACCACAACGAUCCGCCCGAAUCGAUGGGUAGGAAGCCACAAGGAGAAAGAAGCUGCAGAGGAAGAGAGAUCUCGUCUUCCUCGUAGAGCCCACUCCAGUCAUUGUGUCGCCGCCCACACAAGCGCUUGCCGCUGCGACAGUCGAGCCCCGCCGAGCUCCCCUCCGCUGCAGAUGGCCGCGCCGCGCCGACACCACCGCCCGACGCGCACCCCGCCGGCCGCCGUGCCUCGUGCUGCUGCUUUCUUCGCGCCCGACGAGCCCACGAGCUUGCCCGCCUCCACCGCCCGCGAGCCGUCCCUAGCGCCUGCCGCACGCUCACACACCGUAGUGGAGGCAGCCGCACGGGGCUGUGUCGGGAUAGAAAGCCGCGGAGUCGACGUGGGGACGCUGUUGGUGGUCAUCGAAUCGAUUCUCUCCUACGUCUGUGUCGCUUACGUGAAUUCUACACAAGCUAGCUACUGAUCGUUUUUUGAUAGGCUACUUGUAUGCACGCAUCUCGCCGGAGUUCAUCGCCGCGUCGGAAGUAAUUGGCGUGCUGCACGUGUGUUACAAUCUUGUGGUCUGAAACCAACAGGCGCAGGCCGCAGGUCAUGCCAGAGGAGGAAGAAGGUCAUUGAGUGGCUGACAAUGGAGCUCCACAUGUCAGAGUGUGUUGUAACAAAUGGACACAAAAUCAUAAUGGUACUCAGCAAAGACACGAUUGAAGGAUGUGUUUGAGCAAAAGACACGAAAUAACGGUGUUCAAGAGCAAAUUUCCCCAUACGGAAAAGAUGCUCGAUCCGAAAAAUAACCGUUACUUCAAUGGGUUAGGAAAAAAAAACUGUCCGGAAACAAGGUCCGAUCUGAAUUUUUUUCGGGGAUCCGAAUCCGCGGAGGAGAAACCCAAUAUCUUCGGUGUCCAAUCUUGUCGAAACAGGUGACCCGAUCUCUUGAAAACGGUUGGUUUCACCCGUGCUUGUCCAGAAGAGCCUUCUUCCUCCUGAAGCCGCCGCUGAUCCAGCCUCCUCAGGAUGCCGCCGCCGGCCCGCUGCUAGCUCGCGCGCCCCGCCCCUGCUGACUGCACCUCGCUGACUGCAACCAACUUAGUACUCAAACAUUUAAUUUGAUUAUUUCUCAGUUGGCGAGGUAGCAAAGAAGAUCUAGAGGUAAAUCAUCAAUCAUGGAUAAGAAAAAGAAAAUAGACAAAAAUGAAAAAAUUCCGCGACUGGAUUGAGAAGUGAGAGAGAAGGUUGAGAUAUCGAUGCUCUGCUUCGGUGCAUAGCCGGAAAGAAAAUGGAGAAAGAAAAGAAUAAAAAAUGAAUGGGGCCCACUAAAGAUUAGAGGCUAAGCACUAAGCUGCGUUACCAAUUCUUUGGGUAACGUUUUCGCCGUAGCUGGCGAAGUGAGGACGGGCUGGGCGAGCCAAAAUUUUUUAAUUUUUUUUGAGAGGUGGUGAGCCAAUUUUUCGGUAUGGCUCAUUUUGGUUGUAAAACAAACGGGUCCUUUCUGUUUGGCUCGGUCCGUUGGUGAGAUAUAAGUUAACUCUCUCUACCCAGUCUAAUAAUAGCUCAGCCCGUAAAAGAGAAAAGCAUUUCAACACCAUUCGCCCCCCUAUAGUCCCUCCCUACCUCCUCUUUUCUCCAGUCUCCUGAAUCCUGAUCCCCCCAGUCUUCCGAUUCCCCACUGCUAACCCUAGCCGCCAGGCAUUACCGGACAGCCAGGUCGGCGCCACCAUGCCCCCCACGCCGCCUCUAGUCCUAACUCGGCAACUCCUGACCGCCUGCUCGCCAUCGUGCGGCAGAGCCGCUUACAGGAACCGCUGGCGAGAAGACCCCUCAUCGGCUCCUCUCUGGAUACAUCGGCUCCUCUCUGGAUCUCGUUCAUCUACUGAGUCCGGCGCAAUGGUGUUCCGCCGUGUCACUGGGCGACCCUAGGCCUCGGCGGCGGCAACCGAGCCGUGCCGGCAUCCAGAUCCGGUCUUUCCCCGUUACCAGUGACAUAAAGCUUCCGCCUUUCCGAUCUUGGGCCUCGCCGGCGGCAACCGUGAAGGAGCUUCGACGGCGCUGUUGCAUGCGUUGGUGCAUCGCAACGGUGCUACUGCGCCUGUAGAUGAUGAAGAGGGAGAGGGCGCCUUCGGCAACCGUCGCAGGUCACCAUGCUUCUUCUCUAUACUCUUUUUAUGAAUUGUUUUUGGAUUUUUUUUCAAAUUAAACAUUUCACAUCUCCUUUUCGCCACAUUGUUUUAGGUUUUUUUUGGAGCGAGUGAGAUUUUAUUUACUAACUCUGUUCUUUUUUCCAAAAAACUUUGAACGAUAGAUCAGACUCUGCUUAUCUUUUCUAUGUCAAUACAAUCGUGCUAUGUUAUUUAUUUUUGCCUAAACCUAAUUUUUUAGGUCGAAUAUUGGGUUCUCUUUUGAGAAUCCAAACUGGCAAGUCCAGACAUUCUUGGCCCGUUCACCGCCGAGUUACACAAGUGUUUUCAUUGUGGGCCGACUAAUGUGUACGGGCUUUCGUGGGCUGACUCGAGAAUACUAGCAAGCACAUUUAGAUUCCUCUGUAAACACCAGUAUCCCAUCCCUAAAAGAAAAGGAACACAUACAACAGUCAGCCGUGUGCCCGUGUCACACUAAUCUACCCUCUAUAAAAACCGGCGACUCCAUCUCUUUUUUCCUUAUUUCUCUGGAAUUUCAUUGCCAUCCCCCUCCUCCCCAUCAGCUCUCUCCGCUUCUCCAUGCUUGGCGUUCCUCCCUAUAGCCCAUCUCGCCCAAUCCCCAUCGCUCCCAUCCCAUCCCCAUACCGGUCUCUUCUCUCGUGUUCAUCCCAACCAGGGGGGUGUCUCAAGCUGGCGAAAUGCCUUCCUUUGCCUCUUCCCGGGUACUGUUUCUUCUGUUCUAAGUCUAUGCGCGUCUUUGUUUGAUCUGGUUAGGGUUUGGUAGUUAGGCUUGUGAUUUGAUACCUGUUUGAUUCUGUUAAGUACUGUUGGGAGCUGUUCAUUUCGGGGUUUCGUAGUUAAUAACUGUUUGAUCAUGUUGCUGUGAAUUGCGUAUAUUGAACUGAUUUGGUCUAGGAUUUUAUUUGGGGUUUAUUGACUCUAGACAUGGUUCUAAUCAGGUGACUUAUCUUGUGUUCUUGUCUUAGUACCCUAGUUUAUUUGGGGGUUUGGCCGUUCACAAUCUGUUUGAUUCCCUGUUGAUUGCUUUUUUUUUUUGAAGUGGAUUCCCUGUUAAUUGCUAUGAUUGGCAAAAUAUUUGUCUCCAUUGAGAGUUACUGAUUUGAGUAAUCUUACGUUCUCUAUUCCUGUCAUGCCAUUUGUUACGUUUAGCUGGAAUUCCAGAUAAAUGUUAAGAAGUUUGACUUACGACAAAGCUAGGGCAUCUUAUAUUUAGGAACGGACGUAGUACCUUUUUUGUGUGCAGUACUGUGUCCUUCUGGUCUAAUGAGUUAGUGUUUUGAGUAUUGUCUGGUUCCUUCGGUCCUUCCUAAUGUUUAUAUUGAUUUUUUGGACGGUACUCUAUAUCGUCUUGGUUCUAAUGUUAUAACCCUCCUGUCUUUGUUUAGUUCAUUUAGAAAUGCCUCAUUUUGUGUUAAUGGUGCUAUUAAUGGGCUGUGCAAGUGUACAUUACUGUGUAUUCUCAUGAUGCUACUGCUGCUGUAAUUGUUUGUAUACCGCCCUUCUUGAUUCUAAUGUUGCAUCUAAUUGUUAUGCAUAUUCAUAGCGCAAGGGUUCAUUUCAGUAGGGAGUAUAUUCGCUGACACCACUCCUUUUAAUAACUGUUUGAUCAUGUUGCUGCGAAUUGCGUAUAUUGUACUGAUUUGGUCUAGGCGUUUAUUGAUUCUAGACAUGGUUCUAGUUUCGUUACGUAUCAUUAUGGUCUUGUCUCCGUUUAUCUGGGGAUUUGGCAGUUCAUGAUCUAUUUGAUUCCAUGUUAAUUGUGAUGAGUGGCAAAUUGUUUGCCUCCAUUGGGAUUUAGUGAUGAGACUGGUUUUUCUAUUCUCGAGUGUGUUGCUCCACUAAUCUGGAU